rnacentral:misc_RNA from 1 species
GAUGAAGAACGUAGCGAAAUGCGAUAAGUAAUGUGAAUUGCAGAAUUCAGUGAAUCAUCGAAUCUUUGAACGCACAUUGCGCCCGCCAGUAUUCUGGCGGGCAUGCCUGUUCGAGCGUCAUUUCAACCAUCAAGCCCCAGGCUUGUGUUGGGGACCUGCGGCUGCCGCAGGCCCUGAAAACCAGUGGCGGGCUCGCUGUCACACCGGGCGUAGUAGAUUUUAUCUCGCACAGGGCGUGCUGCGGGUUCCGGCCGUUAAAAAGCCUUUUUUACCCAAGGUUGACCUCGGAUCAGGUAGGAAGACCCGCUGAACUUAAGCAUAUCAAUAAGCGGAGGA